CCUGGAGAAGCUCUUUGGUCGAGCUACUGGCUGCUUACCAGUUGGGUGCAGGUUCGACUCCUGCCUCCAGGU
rnacentral:tRNA from 1 species